UACGUAGGGGGCUAGCGUUGUCCGGAAUCAUUGGGCGUAAAGCGCGUGUAGGCGGCCCGAUAAGUCCGCUGUGAAAGUCCAGGGCUCAACCCUGGGAUGCCGGUGGAUACUGUCGGGCUCGAGUCCGGAAGAGGCGAGUGGAAUUCCUGGUGUAGCGGUGAAAUGCGCAGAUAUCAGGAGGAACACCAAUAGCGAAGGCAGCUCGCUGGGACGUUACUGACACUGAGGCGCGAAAGCGUGGGGAGCGAACAGG
rnacentral:rRNA from 1 species